GCCUUCGUGGCUCAGUGGCAAAGCGUCUCACUCGUAAUAACACUCUUCGCAAUGAGAAGAUCCUCGGUUCAAUUCCGAGCGAGGGCA
rnacentral:tRNA from 1 species